UACGUAGGGUGCAAGCGUUAAUCGGAAUUACUGGGCGUAAAGCGUGCGCAGGCGGUUCGCUAAGACAGAUGUGAAAUCCCCGGCUUAACCUGGGAACUGCAUUUGUGACUGGCGGGCUAGAGUAUGGCAGAGGGGGUAGAAUUCCGACGUGUAGCAGUGGAAUGCGUAGAGAUGUGGAGGAAUACCGAUGGCGAAGGCAGCCCCUGGCCAAUACUGACGCUCAUGCACCGAAAGCGUGGGGAGCAAACAGG
rnacentral:rRNA from 1 species